GAUGAACGCUGGCGGCGUGCCUAAUACAUGCAAGUCGAGCGAACGGAUGAGAAGCUUGCUCCUCUGAUGUUAGCGGCGGACGGGUGAGUAACACGUGGAUAACCUACCUAUAAGACUGGGAUAACUUCGGGAAACCGUAGCUAAUACCGGAUAAUAUUUUGAACCGCAUGGUUCAAUAGUGAAAGACGGUCUUGCUGUCACUUAUAGAUGGAUCCGCGCUGCAUUAGCUAGUUGGUAAGGUAACGGCUUACCAAGGCAACGAUGCAUAGCCGACCUGAGAGGGUGAUCGGCCACACUGGAACUGAGACACGGUCCAGACUCCUACGGGAGGCAGCAGUAGGGAAUCUUCCGCAAUGGGCGAAAGCCUGACGGAGCAACGCCGCGUGAGUGAUGAAGGUCUUCGGAUCGUAAAACUCUGUUAUUAGGGAAGAACAUAUGUGUAAGUAACUGUGCACGUCUUGACGGUACCUAAUCAGAAAGCCACGGCUAACUACGUG
rnacentral:rRNA from 1 species